GACGAACGCUGGCGGCGUGCUUAACACAUGCAAGUCGAACGAUGAAGUUCCUUCGGGAAUGGAUUAGUGGCGAACGGGUGAGGAACACGUGAGAAACCUGCCUUUCAUUUUGGGAUAACCCCGGGAAACCGGGGCUAAAACCGAAUACUCCGACUCGGCGGCAUCGCUGAGCCGGGAAAAAAUUUUGAUGAAAGAUGGUCUCGCGGCCUAUCAGCUAGUUGGUGAGGUAAUGGCUCACCAAGGCAACGACGGGUAGCCGGCCUGGGAGGGCGACCGGCCACACUGGGACUGAGACACGGCCCAGACUCCUACGGGAGGCAGCAGUGGGGAAUAUUGGGCAAUGGGCGCAAGCCUGACCCAGCGACGCCGCGUGAGGGAUGAAGGCCUUCGGGUUGUAAACCUCUUUCAGUAGGGAAGAAGCGAAAGUAACGGUACCUAAAGAAGAAGCACCGGCUAACUAUGUGCCAGCCGCCGCAGUAA
rnacentral:rRNA from 1 species